GAAAUGGAGUGUGGGUGGGGACUGGAUGCACCCAGCCUGUCCUCCCCCCACCCCACAAAAUUCACCUCAGCCCAUAACACUCCCUCCCUCCUCCUCCCCACCACAAAAUCAAACUCCUCGGCCUCCCUCCAUGGCCAAAUCCCUCCCUCCUCUAGGACCCCAUCCGGCCUCACUACCUCCCCCUCCCCCCAGCCCAUCAAGCCUCCUCCCCAGUCCCCAAACCCACCUCUCCCACUUCACAUUCCCACAGAGUCCAGCCCCCGUCCUGCUCUCACCCCAAAAUGCUUCUGCCCUUCCCCCCCACCACAACGCCCCUCCCCAGCCCCAAACCCAGCUCCUCCCCCACAUCCGUUCCCACCCCACCCCACCCCACAGGCUGGACUCAGCUGCCCCAGGUCCGGCCUUGGCUCCUGGCCACGCUACAACUGGACCAGCCACAAUGGAGCUCAAGCUCUUACCUGCAUCUUCCUUCGGAGCAGGUUCAGCUGACCCAGAUGAGACCCACUGACCUAAACCCCAGCCCGUGUCUUAGUCCAGGCACGGGGCCGGUGUCCUCCUCAGCGCCAGGCCCAGCUCGCUCAGGGCUGUCUGGCCUCCGUGCUCCACUGAGCGAGAGGGACAUAAAAAUCUGGUAAGCAGCUUUGACACCCUUGUCUGGCACUCAGGUCCCAGCUGCGAACGCCGAAGUGCGCCAGACGCCACAGCCAAGACACCGCCCGCCCGUCAGCUGAGGGGGCAAAAGGCUUCCACCAACACUCAUUAAUGAAGCUUCACGCCCCUUGGCAGGAGUGGUAGCAUCCAGACCGGGAAACUGAGGCACAAAGAGGCAAAAUGACUCAACCGAGAUCACACAGUCACUCUGGGAAUUUUACAAGUGCCAGACAAAGGCAGAACCCCUUCCAUGCCAAACAGCAACUAACCCGGGGAGGGAAGCGGCUUGUGAGCCCCAAGUACUGCCAUAAAGACGACUGUGUUCCAGAAAUAACUUCACCAAAAUGCUUCUGAAGUGACAGACUCAGGGUCCCACUUGCCCCCAUCCGGCCAGGAGUGUGACACUCGCACAGGGGAAGGAAGUCUGCCUCGAUACAGUUUGCAAUGUGCAGAUGGAGGCAGGUGGCGUCCAGAUUGCGGGGCAGACACUGGCCUAGCUGACCACAUCCCCAGCUUAACACUGCCCGUUCUUGUAGCAUCGCUGGGUCCUUCGUUCAGGUCAGACCUCAGCAGCUGAAAAGGAGCUUUACAUCUUUUACCACAAGCAUCUCAUUCAAACAGGAAAACAGUAAAAGGCAAACUUUGAGCUCUCUUUGAAUUCUUCCUGGUGGUCUGUAGCAAAGCAGUCACACUGAAGGCAACUAUUCUCCAUUCUUCACUAGGGACCCAAUCCUGGGAAGUGCUGAGGGCCCUUAAUGGCACUCAGGAACCUUGCAGGAACAAGCCCUAUAAUUCCAUAAGCCAGGCUAUUAUUAUCAUGUAACAUUUACACUGCAUUGGUGCCUAGAGGCCAGCCAGGCCUGGGGCCAGUUGUGCUGGGGCCUCCAACAGACAGAGCUAGAGUCUGCCUAUGUGCAAACCACACCUGCCCAUGUGCUGAAAUCAGAGCACCUGGAAGAAGCUAACGUUAGCAUGGUAUCAAAGCAUCACGCCAACUAUUAGAGACAUCGUCUACACCCAGUGGUCUCCGGUGCACAUUUGUGUAUGCUACAUGCACAGAAGGGAAGAAGGGAGGUUGGGUCUAAGGGACUAUGAAGAACAGAGGAGAUAUGUGGAUUUUUUUCAUGAAUUGGCUAUCUGAUUACAAUCAUGCCAUCUGCCACAUGGAUGCAAAUUGUUAACUCAGUCCUAGGUGGCUCUGUUCUGCAGGAACUGAAGUCAGCGGCUAUAGACAGCCCCAAACCCCAAUGCAUAACAAACAGUACAGGGGUCAAGACCUGUGAAGUUUGGUCUCUGUCCAAAUUGGACACAACACACUGUUGGCUUGUGGCAAGAAGAAGUCGGGCAGUAGGUGGAUGCAGAACAAAGGGCCUGGCUGGUUUUAAAGAGACACUCCCUGAAGUUCACAGAGAAGCAGGGUCUGCAGAGAAAGAGACUGUUAGAGGGUCCCCAGAAGAGCACGUCCCAGGUCUAAGUCGGGCCAACCUAAUUCUGGAGGGAAAUUCUAAACUUCGAUAAGACAGUGUGUGUGUUGGGAGGGGGAGGGUAAGACCUUUUGUUAUUUGAGCCCCUUUGCUUUCUGUUUGCUAUGU